rnacentral:rRNA from 1 species
CCUACGGGCGGCAGCAGUGAGGAAUAUUGGUCAAUGGGCGGGAGCCUGAACCAGCCAAGCCGCGUGAGGGAAGAAGGUACAGCGUAUCGUAAACCUCUUUUGUCAGGGAACAAAGGCGGGGACUAGUCCCCGGAUGAGGGUACCUGAAGCAAAAGCAUCGGCUAACUCCGUGCCAGCAGCCGCGGUAAUACGGAGGGUGCUAGCGUUAUCCGGAUUUCAUGGGUGUAAAGGGGGCGCAGACGGCAGCGCAAGCCAGGAGUGAAAGCCCGGGGCCCAACCCCGGGACUGCUCUUGGAACUGGGCGGCUGGAGUGCAGGAGGGGCAGGCGGAAUUCCUGGUGUAGCGGUGAAAUGCGUAGAUAUCAGGAGGAACACCGGUGGCGAAGGCGGCCUGCUGGACUGCGACUGACGUUGAGGCCCGAAAGCGUGGGGAGCAAACAGGAUUAGAUACCCCAGUAGUC